rnacentral:rRNA from 1 species
AAAGGGUCCGCAGGCGGAUUUAUAAGUCAGUGGUGAAAUCCUAUCGCUUAACGAUAGAACUGCCAUUGAUACUGUAAGUCUUGAAUUCGGUCGGAGUGGGCGGAAUGUGUAGUGUAGCGGUGAAAUGCAUAGAUAUUACACAGAACACCGAUAGCGAAGGCAGCUCACUAGGCCUGAAUUGACGCUCAGGGACGAAAGCGUGGGGAGCAAACAGGAUUAGAUACCCGAGU